GCUUCCUGUGGAGGGAAAAUGUGAGACUCUGGUAAGCAGAUCCGGGGAAGCUUGAGAGUGUGAAAUUGACACGGAGGGAUGUGCAAGUUUCAGAGAACAGUGCAAGCAGUUCAUUGGUUUGGGCACAGUCUAAAACUGAGAGCAGGCGGUUAUUCAGGGUUGUGGACCCCAAAAGACCACAGAAGGGUAUUUUCAGCAUGCAUUAAAUACCCACUAAUUACCUACCAAUGUGCUGGGUACCAUCGCUGUAACACAAAAAGCAGUCAAGCCCACUGGCAAUUUAGGAAAUCAUUGCUACUGAAUUAGCUACAGGAAAAGUAAGUUAUCUUUGUGUUAAAAUUCAAAACCUCCCCUAAAUAAAAAGCAGGGAAAACCCCGAGUUCUUCUGAAUCUUCACAUAAUGUUGUUUCCCAUGGCCCCCCCCCCCUUUUUUUUUUUUGGUCAUGUGUAUUCAUAGAAAUGUCUUACUCUGAGUUUUUACUCAGUUUUUAACUUAACUGUCCCCAGCAGCAUGGCUUCAGAAACUCACCUUCCCAGACCUCUCCAAGGCAACCAAUGGCUUUGGUGAGGCAACACAGAAAGAAAACCUGGGGACAAAGGCAUUUUUGUCCUAUGUAACAAUCAGUAUUCAUUUUUAAAUGUCAAAGGAAGACAAGACAAAGCAGGCAUAUCUAGAAAAAAAUUACUUAAUAUUCCAAAGUGGCUGAUUUUGCAUAUCACAAAAUAGGACCAGGUCAGAUUCAGGGGUUACUUGCAAUAAUUCUGUAAUUAAAAGGCAUACUAGAAUUUAAUGGAGAAAACGUAAUUUUUAGUAUCCAAUAACAAAUUAACUUACUUUUGCAUCCUAAUUAUGGUACAGCACAAAACAAGGAAAAGAACAAUAUUAAACUACAAAUCCAUACGUUAGAUUUAAUUGCAUGUAAAGCAGUACAUGGAAUAAUCUUAAGUAAAUUAAACGCUAGUCUGUUUCCGUAUUUGGAUAGUACUUACCUUCAUAUAGAGAUUUGAGGGAGAGAAGGCUUAGUGCCCGACUUCUAGAAAGUGCUCAAAAAAAUGUCAACCGAUAACAUUACACAAAUGAGACCUAACUGAAGGUAUUUAGCAUUUAGUACUAAAUAAAGUACUAUAAAUCAACUCUGCAUAUAAAGUUUUUAUGGUAACCUUUUAGUAGGUGUGUUUACUAAUGAAAAAUGGGUAAAAAAUCAGCUUUGGUUAAAGAAAAAAAUUCUGAAGUAUUCUUGCCCUUGCCACCCCUCCCCCCAACGAAACCUCAGCUUAACCAGGCUACACAUCAAAAUAUAUAUGGUGGAUAAGCAAACAAGUUAAACAGCGCCACAAGAUUACAACCCGCUGGAGGACAUUCUACAACAUAGGUGACUCAGUUUUAAAAAAAUGGCAAGGAAAAAAAGCAGACGAGUUGUUAAAGAUGAAAAGACUUAAAAGACAUCAACCAGAUACAACGUGAGCCUUGUUGGAAAUCUGGUUCUAACCAAGUAUAGAAAUGCAUUUUCAACAAUUAGGUGAAAUUGAACCAGGAACAAGUAUUAGGAAUUACUGUCAAUUUUGGGGGCGGGGGGAGGACUGUGGUACUUCUUUCUCCUGGUGAUACAUAUUGAAGGAUUAAAGAUGAAAUAAGAGGUCUAGGGCUUGCUCUAAAAUACUGAGGCAAAAAUGGGGGUGGGGGGAAAUGGAUGACGAAACAGGCAUAGUACUAAGAGUACUGAGCUGGUGGUUGCUGAAGCUGAGUGAUGUGCACACAAAGGUUCUCUUUUAUUUGCAGGUCUCAGAGUUUUCACGAUACAGUUUAAAGAAAGUCUAAUGGAAAGAUGCAACAGUCCCAAGAAUCAUGUACCAUUCUUCACUUAUCCAUGUAAGAAUGACUCCCAUUCUAUUCCCCAGAGCUGGUCAGACUUCCCCUAUGUCCUUACUGCCUGUAAUCCUAUAUGGCAUUUCCUGAAGAGAACCAUGUUACGUGUCCCAUAUGCAUUAUUUAAAAUAUAUGUCCUUUCCAAAAGGCCUACUUAAAAGCAAUCAGUUACAUAUUUGAUUCCUUGAGACUUGUACUAUUUGUACAUCAGUUUUUUUUUUUUUUUUUACAAAUUGUGUUCAUAAUAUAAAAUGUAAUUUUGCCAUGUUCACACUGAAAUUGUAGCUCAAAAUUACCUAGAAAAACUAUUCUCUAAAGUAAUCAAAUUCAUAGAAACAAAGUAGAAUGGUGGUUACCAAGGGCUGAGGGGAGGGAUGGGGAGUUGUUUAAUGGCUACAGUUUCAGUAUGACAGGAUGAAAAAUUUCUGGACAUCAGCUGCACAACGUGAAUAUACUUAACAGUCCUGAACUGUACAUUGAACAGAAUUUGCCAGCUUAACCAUUUUUAUGUUUUUUAAAUAUGUUUAAUAAAAUUACCUGGAA